AUUGUAUUAAUGUUUCGUUACAAAUGUAGUUGCUUUAUUAUUCGUUCCUAUUCGCGAUCCCAUUAUCGAUACAACUCCUGGAAAUUAUAAAUACUUCGAAUCAAGGGCAGAAACUUUGAAGAUAUAAUCUAACAGUACUCGAGAUUAAUGUUUAUAGAUACGAACUAUUAAUAAACUUGGCGCUGCAUUUCAUAAAUUCUUAACGGCCGAAUGAAAUUACAGAUUGUUGAAUCAUAGCAUUGACUAGUCAAUGCUCAUAGUCGUCAUUUAAAACUACGUUCGUCAGAUGUGAACAUUAACAUUCUUCGCGUAGGGGCAGCACUGUCAGAACGGUCUAAAAUGGCGGGUGUACUGUUCGAGGAUAUUUUCAACGUAAAAGACAUCGAUCCAGAGGGGAAGAAAUUCGACAGGGGCACGGAACGUGUCGCCAGAUGAAUGUUAAGGUAUCAGGAACGAUUUUCAAUCUUCUUAGAGGAGACGACGAAUUCGUAAUGCGAGAUCGCCAAUGGAAACUUGGUAAUUGGGUCCUCGUCCAAAGAGAAACGGGCGACGGAAAGAGGGAAAAAUUCUAAAGUUCGAAGUUGCACAAUCCUUCAAGGAAGGAGACCGUGCCUGACAGUAGGUCAUCUUCCAUUGCCGGGUGCUGAGGUAAUUCGAGUAAUUUAUACGGACAACUCGAGCAGAUUGCUGGCGAACCUAAUAAUUUCCUCUUUCUGUCCAAGAUACCUGCGUACGUCGCCAUUUCACGUCGUCUCGCCAUUAUUUUUACUAAUGAAACACCCUCCCCCCCUCUCUGCUGCCCGCGUCUCGAUUAUUCUUGUGUCUCCAAUUCGAGGAAAUAUUGGAUUUCCAGGAAACGGUGUGUCUUUCUUAUUUUCGUGGUAGUUUAUUUGUCCGGAAAAGAAAGAAAUUGAAGAAAUGAAGUGAAAAUGAAAAGUGACUUGAAGAGAUAUUUAAUGACAGUUAUAACUAUCAACUAACGAUAGUAUAGCAAUUAUAAUAAUAGUUGUAACAAGAUGGUACAGUAGUUGUAAUAAUAAACUGCGUUAUUUGAGAGCGAACUUGGCAAAUUCUCGUCCUUGUCUUAAUUGCAAGUACAUUUAGACACACUUGUCCACUUUAGAAUUUCGGUGCCGUGUAUGUGUUUUUAUCUCCAAAAGAUCAUUAAAUAAGGAAGAAAUAAAAACGCGGUAGCUUGUCUAAAGCUGCAGUAGCGUAAUUUUGUAACCUUGGUGAAGUAAAGAGUCUUUGAGAGUGAACUUGUUAUACAAAUGCAACGUGCAGCCUGGCUUCUAACCCAUUGUGUUGUUAAACCGUUUAUACGAGAAAUUUCAUUCUAAAAUUAUUAUUUAAUUUA